rnacentral:rRNA from 1 species
AGAGUUUGAUCAUGGCUCAGAGUGAACGCUGGCGGUAGGCCUAACACAUGCAAGUCGAACGGCAGCACAGAGGAGCUUGCUCCUUGGGUGGCGAGUGGCGGACGGGUGAGGAAUACAUCGGAAUCUACUCUGUCGUGGGGGAUAACGUAGGGAAACUUACGCUAAUACCGCAUACGACCUACGGGUGAAAGCAGGGGACCUUCGGGCCUUGCGCGAUUGAAUGAGCCGAUGUCGGAUUAGCUAGUUGGCGGGGUAAAGGCCCACCAAGGCGACGAUCCGUGGCUGGUCUGAGAGGAUGAUCAGCCACACUGGGACUGAGACACGGUCCAGACUCCUACGGGAGGCAGCAGUGGGGAAUAUUGGACAAUGGGCGCAAGCCUGAUCCAGCCAUACCGCGUGGGUGAAGAAGGCCUUCGGGUUGUAAAGCCCUUUUGUUGGGAAAGAAAUCCAGCUGGCUAAUACCCGGUUGGGAUGACGGUACCCAAAGAAUAAGCACCGGCUAACUUCGUGCCAGCAGCCGCGGUAAUACGAAGGGUGCAAGCGUUACUCGGAAUUACUGGGCGUAAAGCGUGCGUAGGUGGUCGUUUAAGUCCGUUGUGAAAGCCCUGGGCUCAACCUGGGAACUGCAGUGGAUACUGGGCGACUAGAAUGUGGUAGAGGGUAGCGGAAUUCCUGGUGUAGCAGUGAAAUGCGUAGAGAUCAGGAGGAACAUCCAUGGCGAAGGCAGCUACCUGGACCAACAUUGACACUGAGGCACGAAAGCGUGGGGAGCAAACAGGAUUAGAUACCCUGGUAGUCCACGCCCUAAACGAUGCGAA